AUCUGAUUUGUUCCCCUAAAUUCCCCCUAUAAAACACCCUCUUUCCAAUCAUUAGGGCACAGAAAAAAGGGUGAAAAAACACAAACGGCUGAAAUCAAUCCUUUUCCAAAAACUUCAGAAGAAAAUUUUUCUAGUUCUGGCUAUUUUUGGAGUCAUUUGCUGGGGUUUUCUAAAGUUAAGCAAAACUUUGGUCCUUGGAUUCAUUGCUGUUCGAUUUGAGCUGAGCUGUUGCAGACUUCUUUCUUUCUUUGAGCUGUUUGUCACAUUUUCUUUUCUAGACCAGCUUUUGUUGUCAUUGAUUAGAUGCUAAGGGUGUGGUGUCCAGGUUAAUAAAUAACCAUUGGAACCAAUUGAAGUCCAUUUGGUACCAGUUCAAAUCCAAAGGUUGGCAUCUUGAGUUGGUAAUUGAAUAGAUGGCAGUGUUAUUCGCAUCAUCAGUUAGUUUUAAUUUAUUAGGGCAUGUAAAUUUAUAAUUCCCCUCUGAUUCACGCUUCAUUAAGUCAUGGCAGUGUUUGUAUAAUUUUAGUUCAAAUUGGGAUGUAAUUCAUGUAUUAUGGAAGUUGGGUAAUUUGAGGUUUCGGAACUGUUUCCUUUGAAGAAAAAUUUGAUAA